GCUUACUUUCAUCGCCUAUUUUUUUUUUUCCUUCUAAUUUGCGGCGUCGCCUUUCUCCCGAAGACAAAGACCGCCGCCGCCACUCCCAAGUUCUUCUCCAACUUCUUCUUCCCCAAUUCUUUCCUUUCUUCUUUUUUUUCUUCCUCCUUCUUUUUCACCAAAGUCAUUACGCAGCUACACCAGGUUCUUCCCCCAUCUUCUUUUCCCCCAAUUCUUUUCUUUCUUUCUUCUCUUUUCCUCUUCCUCUUUCAUAGUCGCCACCCACCCCAACAUUCCACAGCCGCCACCGCCAUCGCCUAUUAAAAAUAUUACUCGUGGGACACCGGGAACAUUAAAAAUAAAAAUCAGUUUUAACCACUGCCACCGCCUAACGCUGCUCCCGUCGCCGUAGAUUGUUAGGUGAUAUGGCGGCAGUUUCAAAGCAGAAUAUAUUUAUAUCCAAUGAAUGGGCCAAUGCCGCUGAGACCGUAACCUAUGGUUCGGUUACUUCUCCAAUAACCUUCAUAUGCGGCCCUAAGAAUAGCGGGAAAACUACAUUCUCUCGUCACUUGGUCAAUGUUCUUCUGCAGAGGUAUAGAAAAGUGGCAUAACUCGACACCGAUGUUGGGCAGACAGAGUUUACUCCCUCUGGCCUCGUGUCACUGGUUAUGAUUGACAAAACAACUCCAGAUGCUUUUUCUUUGGUUAUGUCUCAUAGAAAAAGGGAUCAUGCUACUUAUGUAUCUUACAUAAAAAAGCUGUAUGAGCACUAUCUAAAAGAAUACAAGGAGAAUGGAGGAAAUUCCAGAA